AAGUAGUUUCGCUAAUUUUUCACAGACAGCGUCUUUGGGGGUACACAGAUUGUUACCUUGCAAGCUUGUUUAAUUAAAUAAGAUGCCAAGGGGAAAGGGAAAUGCUUCAUCUACUGCUAGACCAGUUGAACCUGAAAAGCAGAAUGAAUCUGAAAAGCCAGGUGACUCUGAUGAGAGGGUAGAUCUUGACGUUGAUAAUGAUCCUGAGGAGGUAAUGGAAGAGGAUGUUGAGUACGAAGAAGUUGAGGAAGAAGAAGGAGGAAGAGGAGGAGGGU
rnacentral:misc_RNA from 1 species